rnacentral:rRNA from 1 species
AGGGUUUGAUUCUGGCUCAGGAUGAACGCUGGCGGCACGCUUAACACAUGCAAGUCGAGCGGAGGAAGGAGUUAAAGCACUACGGUGUGGAGACUGCGGACUCAGCGGCGGACGGGUGAGGAACGCGUGGGUAACCUGCCCUAUACAGGGGGAUACCGUGUAGAAAUGCACGCUAAAACCGCAUAAGCUACCGAAGUCGCAUGACAUUGGUGGAAAAACUGAGGUGGUAUAGGAUGGGCCCGCGUCUGAUUAGCUAGUUGGAGAGGUAAAGGCUCCCCAAGGCGACGAUCAGUAGCCGGUCUGAGAGGAUGGACGGCCACAUUGGGACUGAGACACGGCCCAA